rnacentral:rRNA from 1 species
AGAGUUUGAUUAUGGCUCAGGAUGAACGCUAGCGAUAGGCCUAACACAUGCAAGUCGAGGGGCAGCACAUGAAGUAGCAAUACGGAUGGUGGCGACCGGCGCACGGGUGAGUAACGCGUAUGCAACCUGCCUACAACAGGGGAAUAACCCGUUGAAAGACGGACUAAUACCCCAUAACACAGGGAUCCCGCAUGGGAAUAUUUGUUAAAGAUUUAUCGGUUGUAGAUGGGCAUGCGUUCCAUUAGCUUGUUGGUGAGGUAACGGCUCACCAAGGCAACGAUGGAUAGGGGAACUGAGAGGUUUAUCCCCCACACUGGUACUGAGACACGGACCAGACUCCUACGGGAGGCAGCAGUGAGGAAUAUUGGUCAAUGGACGCAAGUCUGAACCAGCCACGUCGCGUGAAGGAAGACGGCCCUACGGGUUGUAAACUUCUUUUGUAAGGGAAUAAAGUGUAGUACGUGUACUAUUUUGCAUGUACCUUACGAAUAAGGAUCGGCUAACUCCGUGCCAGCAGCCGCGGUAAUACGGAGGAUCCGAGCGUUAUCCGGAUUUAUUGGGUUUAAAGGGUGCGCAGGCGGGAGAUUAAGCCGGCGGUGAAAUUUUGCAGCUCAACUGUAAAAGUGCCUUCGAAACUGGUUUCUUUGAGUGUGGAUGAAGUAGGCGGAAUUUGUGGUGUAGCGGUGAAAUGCAUAGAUAUCACGAGGAACUCCGAUUGCGCAGGCAGCUUACUAAACCAUAACUGACGCUCAGGCACGAAGGCGUGGGGAUCAAACAGGAUUAGAUACCCUGGUAGUC